AUGAAUACACCACAUUCUCUGCUGCUCCAGUGUGGCCAUGGGUGCAUGGCUCAUCUGCUCGGUAGCACUUUGCCUCCUUCGGGCAGGCUUUUUUGAUGCUGCAGUUACUCAGACUCCAAGACAUCUGAUCAAAAUGAAAGGAAAGAAAGCAAAGAUGACAUGUAUCCCUGAAAAGGGGCACACUGCUGUUUAUUGGUACCAACAGAGGCAGAACAAAGAGUUACAGUUCCUGAUUUACUUUCAGAACCAACAGCCUCUUGAUCAAAUAGACAUGGUCAAGGAGAGAUUCUCAGCUGAGUGUCACUCAAAUUCAUCCUGCAACCUGGAAAUCAAAACUUCGGACGUGGGAGACUCUGCACUGUACUUCUGUGCCAGCAGUCAGUCCACAGUGCUGAAAUGUUCAUUUCCCUCAGUUCACAAACCCACCAUGAUGCGAACUUAA